UGGCAAUUAAAAAUUAUAUUAACAUUUAUAAAAUAAAUAGGUAAAACAUAAAAUAAUUUUUUUAUUUUUAAUUAACAACAUAAAUACAUAAAGGGGAUAAAAUUUUCUUCUUCAUAACUACCAUUCUUCUUCGUGAAUCUUCUUCUUCAUUGCAAAUCAUUUUUUGCAUCACUUUCUCUUCCAUCUAUUAAUUUGUUUUCCUUCUUUGCCUCGUAUGAAAUCGGAAAUCUCACUCAUUCCUUGUCAAAAUUUCACCUCACAUAUUCAAUCUAUCUUUCAUAUUGUUUUCAGAUGAGUGGUUUCUCCUCAUUCUUAACCCAAAUAUGAACCCAUUCAUCCCCACUAUUCACAGAAAGGAGAAAAUGCUCUAAUUUUCACAAAGAGGCUCCACUCAUCUCCCACCGUCGUGAACAACAACAACAACCUUCAUACUUAAAUCUGGCCUUUAAACACUUAUCUAACGUUCAAACUCAAAUUCAAAUUAUCAUACAAAAGAGAUGACUCUGUUGGAACCUGAAGCAUGAAUUUGUUGCUUUCUCAAAAUUUGGAUAUGAUUGAAAUGGGUUUGAUUUGGUUGAGGGGUUUAAAUGGGUUGGAUUGAAAGGGGAGAGGGGAAAUAUUGCAGAGAAGAAAAAGAAAUAGUGGUUUUGUUACGGAAAAAUUGGGGACCGAGAGAGUGAUUUUUUUUUGGAGAACAAGUUUUUUGUUGGAUGAUAAAUUAAGUUCUUCCGUCUUUCCCUGGCCUCCCCAACACACUCUUGAUACGAAAGAAACCUCCCGCCAUAGAAUAGAGAAGAAAGAGAUCUAAAGUUUGGGUCCCCUCGAUCACCCUUCCCUUGAACCUAAACUGGUCGAGAGAGAUGAACCCGCACCACAUUUGAUAACCUUCGAACUUAAACCCCCAACUAGAGAUGGAAUUCCAGAACCUAAACAACUUAAGAGAGAGCUCCGUGACCGGUUCAAUUCAAGGGAAGGUCCACCAAUAAUGGAAAGUCCAUUCCCCUCCCUAUCUGUUUCUUCUUUUUGUUCAUGUGGAUCUUGAUUUGAAUUAAGUUUAAGUUUAUUGUUGGGUUUUGUUCAUAUUCGAUGAUGAACUAAGUUCUUCCCUUUUUCCCAUUGAAAUCUUUCAUUAUUUUUGAUUGGAUUAUGAAUAAUUAGAUGAAUAUAUGUGAUAAGUUUUGGAUGAACAUUUGGGUUGAAGAUGAUGAUAUGCGUUACUGAUAAAUGUUUUGGAUGAAGAUCUUGAUUAAAAAAAAAAUUGGGUUGAUGAUGAAUGUUUAAUGUUUUUCUUUUGAUUUUGGUGGGUUUAAUGGUGAAUAUGAUGAAG
rnacentral:lncRNA from 1 species